AGUCGAGCGACUGAUUAGAAGCUUGCUUCUAUGACGUUAGCGGCGGACGGGUGAGUAACACGUGGGCAACCUGCCUGUAAGACUGGGAUAACUUCGGGAAACCGAAGCUAAUACCGGAUAGGAUCUUCUCCUUCAUGGGAGAUGAUUGAAAGAUGGUUUCGGCUAUCACUUACAGAUGGGCCCGCGGUGCAUUAGCUAGUUGGUGAGGUAACGGCUCACCAAGGCAACGAUGCAUAGCCGACCUGAGAGGGUGAUCGGCCACACUGGGACUGAGACACGGCCCAGACUCCUACGGGAGGCAGCAGUAGGGAAUCUUCCGCAAUGGACGAAAGUCUGACGGAGCAACGCCGCGUGAGUGAUGAAGGCUUUCGGGUCGUAAAACUCUGUUGUUAGGGAAGAACAAGUACAAGAGUAACUGCUUGUACCUUGACGGUACCUAACCAGAAAGCCACGGCUAACUACGUGCCAGCAGCCGCGGUAAUACGUAGGUGGCAAGCGUUAUCCGGAAUUAUUGGGCGUAAAGCGCGCGCAGGCGGUUUCUUAAGUCUGAUGUGAAAGCCCACGGCUCAACCGUGGAGGGUCAUUGGAAACUGGGGAACUUGAGUGCAGAAGAGAAAAGCGGAAUUCCACGUGUAGCGGUGAAAUGCGUAGAGAUGUGGAGGAACACCAGUGGCGAAGGCGGCUUUUUGGUCUGUAACUGACGCUGAGGCGCGAAAGCGUGGGGGAGCAAACAGGAUUAGAUACCCUGGUAGUCCACGCCGUAAACGAUGAGUGCUAAGUGUUAGAGGGUUUCCGCCCUUUAGUGCUGCAGCUAACGCAUUAAGCACUCCGCCUGGGGAGUACGGUCGCAAGACUGAAACUCAAAGGAAUUGACGGGGGCCCGCACAAGCGGUGGAGCAUGUGGUUUAAUUCGAAGCAACGCGAAGAACCUUACCAGGUCUUGACAUCCUCUGACAACUCUAGAGAUAGAGCGUUCCCCUUCGGGGGACAGAGUGACAGGUGGUGCAUGGUUGUCGUCACUCGUGUCGUGAGAUGUUGGGUUAAGUCCCGCAACGAGCGCAACCCUUGAUCUUAGUUGCCAGCAUUUAGUUGGGCACUCUAAGGUGACUGCCGGUGACAAACCGGAGGAAGGUGGGGAUGACGUCAAAUCAUCAUGCCCCUUAUGACCUGGGCUACACACGUGCUACAAUGGAUGGUACAAAGGGCUGCAAGACCGCGAGGUCAAGCCAAUCCCAUAAAACCAUUCUCAGUUCGGAUUGUAGGCUGCAACUCGCCUACAUGAAGCUGGAAUCGCUAGUAAUCGCG
rnacentral:rRNA from 2 species